AGGGUGAGAACCCCGUACGUGGCUUGGGUGCAGAAAACACUAGAGGACGUAUCCUCUAAGAGUCGGGUUGUUUGGGAAUGCAGCUCAAAAUGGGUGGUAAACUUCAUCUAAAGCUAAAUAUUGGUGAGAGACCGAUAGCAAACAAGUAGAGUGAUCGAAAGAUGAAAAGUACUUUGAAAAGAGAGUGAAACAGUACGUGAAAUUGUUGAAAGGGAAGCGUUUGGCAUCAGCCCAUGGCGGCGGUCGAACAUCUGGGCUUCUUUUUUUUUGCUUUCGGCAGUCGCCGGGCCAGCGUCGGUUGCGGGUGGUGGAGAAAGGCCUUGGGGAAGUGGCACUCCCUUGUGGAGUGUGUUAUAACCCAUGGCGUCAUGCGGCUUGGUGGGACCGAGGUCCGCGGUUUUGUCCUAGGACGCUGGCGUAAUGGUUCCAAGCGACCCGUCUUGAAACACGGACCAAGGAGUCUAACAUCUAUGCGAGUGUUUGGGUGUCAAGCCCGGCCGUGCAAUGAAAGUGA
rnacentral:rRNA from 1 species